rnacentral:rRNA from 2 species
GACGAACGCUGGCGGCGUGCUUAACACAUGCAAGUCGAACGGAAAGGCCCUGCUUGCAGGGUACUCGAGUGGCGAACGGGUGAGUAACACGUGGGUGAUCUGCCCUGCACUUCGGGAUAAGCCUGGGAAACUGGGUCUAAUACCGGAUAGGACCAUCGUUUAGUGUCGGUGGUGGAAAGUUUUUCGGUGCAGGAUGAGCUCGCGGCCUAUCAGCUUGUUGGUGGGGUAAUGGCCUACCAAGGCGUCGACGGGUAGCCGGCCUGAGAGGGUGGACGGCCACAUUGGGACUGAGACACGGCCCAGACUCCUACGGGAGGCAGCAGUGGGGAAUAUUGCACAAUGGGCGCAAGCCUGAUGCAGCGACGCCGCGUGGGGGAUGAAGGCCUUCGGGUUGUAAACUCCUUUCAGCCAUGACGAAGCUGGCCUUGUUGGGUCAGUGACGGUAGUGGUAGAAGAAGCACCGGCUAACUACGUGCCAGCAGCCGCGGUAAUACGUAGGGUGCGAGCGUUGUCCGGAAUUACUGGGCGUAAAGAGCUCGUAGGUGGUUUGUCACGUCGUCUGUGAAAUUCCGGGGCUUAACUCCGGGCGUGCAGGCGAUACGGGCAUAACUUGAGUACUGUAGGGGAGACUGGAAUUCCUGGUGUAGCGGUGAAAUGCGCAGAUAUCAGGAGGAACACCGAUGGCGAAGGCAGGUCUCUGGGCAGUUACUGACGCUGAGGAGCGAAAGCAUGGGUAGCGAACAG